rnacentral:rRNA from 1 species
AGCUCCAAUAGCGUAUAUUUAAGUUGUUGCAGUUAAAAAGCUCGUAGUUGGAUUUUGGGCGCGGCAGGCCGGUCCGCCGAUUCGGUGUGCACUGGCAGGCGGCGUCUUUCUGCCGAGGACGUGUCAUGGCUUUCAUCGGUCGUGGCACGGAGUCGGCGAUGUUACUUUGAAAAAAUUAGAGUGUUCAAAGCGGGCCUACGCUUGAAUAUAUUAGCAUGGAAUAACACCAUAGGACUCCUGUCCUAUUCUGUUGGUCUUCGGGAUGGGAGUAAUGAUUAAGAGGAACAGUUGGGGGCAUUCGUAUUUCAUUGUCAGAGGUGAAAUUCUUGGAUUUAUGAAAGACGAACUUCUGCGAAAGCAUUUGCCAAGGAUGUUUUCA